ACACGCCCAGCACACACCCGUGCGGUGUGUGGGAGCUCCACAGGCACGUUUCGAGAAAGCCUCUACGGAGGACGUUACAAAGUGUCCCUGUGGUGGUGGCGGUGCCGUUUCUAAGAGAGUUUCUUCUGGCCUGUUUCGUCUGUUCUGAAAUGUUGUGGGUAGGAUGAGAAUAUGAACAAGGAUUACGGUCUCACACGCGAAGACACACCGGCAGGCAUCUUCUCAUGGUUUCCUUGGAGCAGAAACCCGGCCAGCGUGAAGUCCACGCAGCAAUUGCCAGCAGCCCUGGACCACUGGCAGGUCUCCAGCCUCGACACCCAUGCCAGCAGCUGCUUGUCGCAGCAGGAAGCUAGUGCCGGCCGAAGCACGUCCGCAGUGCGAAUCAAGCGGAAGGAGUUCCUGCCCGCGCUCUCCAGGUGCUCCAGCCUGAGCUCCGUCAGCACCGUCACCCCUGAGAGCUCCCCACCACCCCAGAACACAAAGGACCAGAGAGAAAGAAAGCAACUUCGAGCAGGAGACGUGGCUGCAAACCAAGCCUCCGCAUCAGGAGCCCAGGGACCUGAACCAGCUGAGUCCCGCGUCCAGGGGUCCUUUUCCACCAGGAUCCCAGCUGCAGAGUCUGUCCUGGAAACCCUCCAGCUGCCGUCCCCGCUGCAGGGCCGUGACCAGGACGUGUGGCCUCAGGUGCACCAGGACACUGUCCCCAGCCACCAGGAGCCCUGGACCAUGGAGUCCACAGUCAUCAACGUCCCUGGAGGGCUGGACGGCGAGCUGGACGGCGAGCUGGACAUCCAGCAGGUGCCCCGCACGCUGGCAGUGAUGCCGUUCGUCCAGGCGCCUGAGAGCCUGCCGGGCAUCAAGGAAGAGUGUGGGGAGGAGGGGACCCCAGUCAUCAGAGAGAUGGGGGUCUGCACCCCCACGAAGGCCCCUGUGCCCAGCAGCCCCACCCCCGUCACCAUGAUCAUGAUGCCGGAGGACCCGGAGCUGGGGGACAGGGCACCUCAGCUUGUGUAG
rnacentral:lncRNA from 1 species